UACCAGCCCCCUGAGUGGUAGGGACGAUUAUUUGGCCUAAAGCGUCCGUAGCCUGCUUAGUAAGUCUUUCGUUAAAUCUAACGAUUCAAUCGUUAGACCGCGUAAGAUACUGCUAGGCUAGAGGAUGGGAGAGGUCGACGGUAGUCCUGGGGUAGGGGUGAAAUCCUAUAAUCCCAGGAGGACCACCAGUGGCGAAGGCGGUCGACUAGAACAUGCCUGACGGUGAGGGACGAAAGCUGGGGGAG
rnacentral:rRNA from 1 species